rnacentral:tRNA from 1 species
AAAAAUAUAUUAUAAAUUGAAUAAAUUUAACUUCGAAUUAAUAAAUAUAUAUAUAUAUAAAUUAUCAAUUUAUUACUUUUA